rnacentral:lncRNA from 1 species
GGAAAAUGGUGUAGGGGUGAUGAUCCUCUAUCGGCCGACCACUCCGACUAUGUGUUGGGGGAACACGAUUUUCAGACUGGAAUAACAGCAAAAUGUUAGUAUACAUAUUUGAAUGCAUCAGUAAAAGAAUGAAGAUCGGUUAUGGGAAAAUACCUCGGCGUUCGGAUCAAUGUUGGCUGGGUCCAAGAGGUUGCAGUACAUUGAUGUGGAGGCGCAGAACAGGUACUAUUUCCAUUCGGCCCACCAUAACUUGAAUUGUUGGACAACAAAGGGAGCUACUAUCCAGUCAUUCAGAUCUAUGGUGCUAGAGUCUGGUAUCCGAUCCCGCAGUUGGCUGUAGUCAAGGCCCUUGGUGAGCUCAUCUCUGAACUUUGCUCGGCCGAUGAAGUAUGCCUAAAUCGGCAGUUGGCCCAUGCCGAAUUGCCGUGCUGCAACAGAAGGAUUGUAGAAUUCAUAUGUAGGGGCAUCUUUUCCUGAGAAGAAGUUGGCCGGUAAGAUCCCUGGUUUAAUUAACUCAUCCGUUAGAUCUUUGUCGAAUCGGCCGGUGAUUGAGUCAAAAUAAGGAGGGAGUUCGAAGAUUGAGUCAUCUCUCCGAUAAGGGAACCAGAUGGUUGCAUCUUCAUUGAAGCCAUUGUAGAAGCACCGGAAGUAUUCGGCCACCUUGGUCGCAGAAUACGAGCAACCAGAGAAGGCCGAUGCCGCUUCGCCAAAGGACAUACACCGGCGUCGGACAAUAAGGUUCUCUUCCGAUUCUACGCUGGGGAAAGUCAUAUUUUCCACUCGCUCCUGAGAGAUCUCGCUCAUAUACAAAUUCAGCCACAAGUUAAUGAACCACCAGGGCCCACCUGCAUUUCCAAUUGGCUCCCCUUGGGAUAACUUGAUACCGAUCUGAUGAAGCAUGUGGUAGACUGCUCCCAGUAAGUGUUUUCUGAGAGGAACCGAAGUCCCUAUUGAUAGUGCUUCGGCCAAAGCUUGGGUGUUGGUAGAUGGACCAGCUGCUCUCCCACAGAAGAAGUGCUUCUUUAGCCACAUCAUCAGGAAGGCUGUAUACUCUCUGUUCUCGACAGAUCCGGCCCUUUUGUUGCAUCUAAUGAAGUCUUUCCACCCGCCGAUUCCCCUUGUGUCCAGCCGAUGUGAUGUUGCGGCUAUAAGGCGGAAAGGAGUGUCAGGGGAAGUGAUGUCCAGGCCGGUCAGCAAGACUACAUCGGCCAAUGUGGGGGUCAUGGGUCCGUGUCCAAAUAAGAAUGCGUUGAGAGCAUCAGACCAAAACUAAGAAGCUGCCAUUACUAACGGUUCAUUCCGUUCCAUUUGGGACAAGGAUAGGUCGAUGCAUUGGCCAAUUUUGAGCUCGUUCCAUUGGAGCUUCUUGGAGGUGGCUAUCCGCUGGUACCAUUCCCUCCAACCAGGAGUUUCAUUCGGCCAAGACCUAAAGGUACCCGACCAUUGAUCUAGGUCCAUGGCUGAUUGUUUGAAGGGGAUCCUAUGGGUUUCCAAGUUGAUCAGGGGAGUAGGAUCUGGGUUCCCCAUGGGCCCGAGGCAGAUAAGGCCGAGGCUUUCCGUAAGGCGAAUGGUGAUGCGAUGCCUAACUGCCUAAAAAGGAAAAGGGGUACGAAAAUAAGAAAUAGAUCUAAGGUAAAUGCACUACUGAUAAGGGAAGGUUUCGGUAAAUAACCUCCGGAAUGAAGCUCCUCGUAAUCGGCGGAGUCACCGGUGCAGCUGCAGAUGAUGAAGCCGCUAAUGGGGUCUCAGAUGAGGCUUCAGCUUUUGCCAAUGGAGCUCCUUCUUCCGUCAAUGGAGUUGCCGCUAUCGCUACUGGAAUCUCCACCGAAGGCGCCAUCUCUGGAGCUUCGCGCAUUUGCGAGGUGCCUGAAGGUGCCGCCAUUGAAGAAGUAGGAGAGAAUGCGAAGGGAAGGAGGCGCUGGAGAUUUGGAGGAAAAUGUUGGAGGAAGAAGAAAGCCUGUGCGCUGGAGAAGAAGGACGUGAGCUCGUAAGGAGUACGGGAUGUACUGAUAUUUAAAGAAGGUCUGAGAAGGGGUAAAAGUGGAAUUUUUACCGCGCCGGCGUUUCGAGUUUUUCGGGAGUAGUGGUUGUCGUGGGCGCCCGUUUCAAAAAGAUUGCAAUCAUCAGGUUGGAGACCGCGAAACGGAAGGAUGUUUUCGUGGCGUCUGUUUCGGAUGUGAAGUUAAAAAGAAUUUCGAAGUAAAGACCAUGUUUUACUCCGAAACUAGGGGGCAUGUGUUGACGACAGAUUUUGACACGUGUAAAAUCGGCGUUAGGAGAAGAAAAGAUCGGAAGAUGCGGCGAGAUACAAGGGCGACGAUUGGAAAUCGGCCGAUUGCUGCUACAGUCAAGGAUCAGCCAAGUGGUGCUACAGUCGAGGAUCGGCCGUUUGAUCCUUGGAGUUCCGCCUCACCCGACCCCUGAGGCUUGGGAUCGGACGCAUCCGACCCCCAAGGGAGGAUCUCCGCCUCGCCCGACCCCUGAGGAUUGGGAUCGGACGUGCCCGAGCCCCAGGGAAGGAGCUCUGCCUCGCCCGAUCCCUGAGGUUUGGGAUCGGACGCACCCAACCCUCCGAGGGAGGAUCUCCGCCUCGUCCGACCUUAGUCCCCAGGGUCGGGAUGAGUCUGAACCCUCGACAUGUGGAUCCUGAUCGGUUGCCCCUAUGCCAAGGAGAUGAUUGGCCGAUUAGGAGGUUGGAAUAGUUGGGCCGAUGUGGGCUUAAAAAAAGAUUAUGAAGAUGAAGAAGGGUUCAGCCCAUGAAGCGCGUGAAAAUAGUACGAAUCGUACUUGUAAAUAUUUGUUUUCUGUUUAGAUUUAGGGAUAGAGUUCUAGUCGGAUAAGAAGUUUUCUCUGUUUAAAGUUAGAGAUAGAGUUCUAGUCGGAUAAAGAGUCGUCUGUACGGGGUUAUAAAUAGCCACCUUUGUAGAUCUGUAAAAAACAAUCAACUCAAUACAACAAACUACUUUUUCCUCGUAUUUACUUUCAAGCAGGCGACUUCGCCAACACUUUUUUCUCUUUUUUCACGAGUUCGUGCGGGUUGGCAGGGCUGCAUCAAUUCGAUCUCCGACCAAUUCUGUAAGUUCCGCUUAUCGAGUAAUAUCUAAGCUUUAACUUCGGGCGCAUCGCUGUUGUUUCGUUUAGAUUUAUUCACCAGUUAUCGAUACUUACUAGAAUUCUAGGUUUUACCUAUUGUUCUAGUUUUAUCACCAGUUAUCCAGCUUGGAAUUAGAACCUUCGGCUUUAUCAUAUCUUGCUACUUAAUUUACCGCUUUUUCACAUAGCUGAUCGGAUCUGUUCCUAGUGUUGCUACCUUAACAUUGUUUAGAUUACUCUAGUAGUUUUCUCUACAAACGUUACCUGGUAAUCGGUUGUCUCAUAGCCGAUUUCCUUCAUUACUGCAAAUCGGCCGAUUCGCUGAUAAGCUUUCCUAAGAUCGGAACUUUAGCCGAUCGCAACCCCUGGGAACUAACACGUCUAUUUCCUUGCCAAUCAACAGGUCAGAUUGGCUGGCACGCCGCGCGAACCGCACCAGGGCGAUUUACCCAAACAGGAGCAAAGCAGAUUCUCCCGGGUCGUGUGUCCGACGCUGGGAAUACGAUCAGUGGUUUCUAGCGCCAACACUAUCCUAUUGAGCAAGAAUGGGAAUUUGCUAGUUAUGUUGUAGAAAGGCUUAAACUGUUUAGUGACAUAUCAACACUAUUUUCUAGAACUGAUUAUGUCACAACAAACAUGUUCUUCUAUAAAUUUUCUGAGAUUAGAAGUAACAUUAAGGAGUGGUCAGUUUGUGGUAAUUUUCUGAUUGAAGAAAUGUUAAUUAAUAUGGAAGCGAAGUUUAAGAAAUAUUGGACUAAUAUUCAAGGUCUGAUGGGCAUUGCUACUCUUCUUGAUCCUCGAUUCAAACAUAUCAUGCUGCUUCAAUGUUUUGAGGUGUUACUUGGAAGACAUGGAGUGGACUGUGAGGAUGAGGUUACUAAAGUGAAGGAAUCAUUGAGUGAUUCGAUGCUUGAGUACCAUUUGGAAGAGGAUGAACCUAGAGUUAACAAGGCAUCAACAACUGCAGUAGGGAAUUCAGGCUUCUUGUCUUCCUUUAGUGCACGUGUUGCAAGUACAAAGCCAGUCGCCAUAAGAUUCAGAUCUGAGUUGGAUCACUACUUGGAGGAUGAGACGGUGGACAUACUUACAAAGGACUUUGAUAUUUUAGAUUGGUGGGAAGUGGCAGGAACACGCUAUCCUACUUUGAGAUUGAUAGCAAGAGAUAUUUUUGCAAUUCCUAUAACCACAGUUGCUUCAGAAUCAGCAUUUAGCACUAGUGGGCGAGUUCUUAGUGAGCAUCGCAGCAGGUUCACUUCUCAAAUGCUGGAGGCUCUAAUGUGCUCACAGGAUUGGAUUAGAACCAAGUAUAAAGGUAAAUUUCUUGGGCAAUUUACAAUUCUUUUUGUCCAGUUAUUCAAUGUUUUUUUUCCUCAUGUAGUUUAUACUUGAUAGCUUCUAAUUGAAAAAUAUUCUUGCAAUCCUAUGUAGGCUUUGUUACUGAUGAAGGAUAACCUGCUAGCUUUUGGUCUGUUCUUCAAGAAGUCCAAGAAAGCCUUCAGGUGAUUGAUCCAGUACAGCAACAUUCAUCUAUUUGUUGUGUCUUCUCUUUUUAUCAGUAACUUGUGUCCAUGUAUAUCUAUGUAGGAUCUUGCAAUUUAACUCCAGUAGGAGCACAACAGAUUCCUCAAGAUGGCGUGUUGUACUGCUGUCCAAGUAGAAUGGGAUGGGAUCACACUGUUCGACCAACGCUUUAGCAUUAACAGUUUAACACUAACUAUUUAUGUAAGCUUUGGUUGUAACAAAUGAUGUGUGAUAACGCAACUACUAUCUUGCUUUCGUUGCAGCCAUGAAGUUGAUACUAAGUUGAAUUAUUGUUGGUCAGUUGAUACUAAGUUGCUAUUAUGUAAAUGUGUUGGUCAGUUGGUCAGCUAUUGUCUGCUGAUACUAAGUUAUUGUUGGUCAGCUGGUCAUUUGUUAUCUGUGCUUUAUGCUACUGGUUUGCGGGGAAUUAUCGGGGUCAGGGCCCCCGCCGGGUGAGAAAUCCCCGCUCGGGGACGGGGACGGAGAAAAUCCUCCCCCUGCAAAUAGGGAUGGGGAUGGGGACGGGGAAAUUCUGCUCCAUCGGGGAGCAAAACGUUCAGCUCAUCCCCGGCGGGGAUAGCCCCGUUGCCAUGCCUACACGUGCGAUGUGGCGCGACCGAGCUUGGCACAGCAAAAGCGGGCACGCACUGAGUCUUUGGGGCAGGACUGCAUGAAGGUGUGUGUAAGGCGCGCUCUAGUAGCCGUUCUCUACGGUAUACAAUUGACAUGGAACAGAGAGAGGGAUUAGACAUGGGACAGUUGGAGUUGUGUGGAGGGUAGGAAAAGGUGCACAGGGAGUCGAGCUUUUGAGUGUGCAGAGGAGGUGUGUCUGUGUUGGAAUCAAGAUUAUAGGGAUGUUUGGAUACUAGGUGCUAAACUUUAGCAGUGUCAUAUUGGAUGUUCGGAUGCUACUUAGGAGGACUAAACAUGAGCUAAUUAUAAAACUAAUUGCAGAACCCCUAGGCUAAUUUGCGAGAUGAAUCUAUUAAGCCUAAUUAAUCCAUCAUUAGCAAAUAGCUACUAUAGCACCACAUUGUCAAAUUAUGGACUAAUUAGGCUUAAUAGAUUCGUCUCGCGAAUUAGACUCCAUCUGUGCUAUUAGUUUUGUAAUUAGCCUAUGUUUAAUACUCCUAAUUAGUAUCCAAACAUCCGAUGUGACAGUUGGCGGGUUUAUCCAAACACCCCCUAUAUGUAUCCUAAAGUCCGGGUAGGUUUUAUUCGGAGCGUUCAUGUACCAGCUAGGUAUAUUUUGAGAUCUGCGAAAGGUGUCAGGUGACCAGAUUUAUGUCAUGUCCAUGUAUUGUAUACCGUGGGACCCGUUGUACCUGUACAUGAAAAAUACACAAUAAAUAAACUGCUCUGGUCCUCGCGUACAUUUCUAGACCAUUUGAAACACCGUACUCCCUCGCAUCCUCUCCCCUCUCUCUUCUCCCGCCCGGGAGGCGGCGUGGGGACGACGCCGGCACCCGACGUGGCUGCCGGAUCGAGGCGCACCAGGGCCGCUGGGUUUCGCGUGGUGUGGUGCCGACGUCGAGCAAACCGCCGGAUCCGUUGGCGUGGCAACGAGGCAAGGCUUUGGCGGUGGGCGACAGGGGCUCGCCAGACGGGACUAGGGCUGGGCACUUUUAAACCGAAACAAAAAAAUAUUGAACCGAACCGAAAUGUCAGUUUUUCAGUUUAUUCGGUUUGACUUCGGUUUCCAGUUUGGCAAAAUUGGUGUUCAGUGAUGGUGUCGGUUUUAAUACUGCACCAAAUCGAACAACCAAAACUUUCACGCACAACCAACGCACGAAGGCAGCAACCACCAACCAGGCUGGCCGAUAGCUUGAUGAUUUUGGCCCAACUUGGCCCAAGGUCAAAAGCAACAAGCAAAUAUCAUGCUGAACUUUUUUUAUUUUUAUAUUUUUUUACAAUUUUGUAGAAAUAAAUAGUCAAACAAAAAAUUUGCAAAAAUGGACGUAUGCUGCUGCACCAAACGGCGGAAGGCGCUUAUCGCUGAAUGAAACGAUGGUAAGAGUCAUUACCGUCGUUUCACCUGGCGGUAAGACCCUUACCGCCCCCCAUCCGGCAGGCCGCCCAUGGGUUUGAAUUGCGCCAGUUUCAAGGAUCUGUCGCCAUUUCAUCCGGCGGUAAGGAAGCUCCGCCAAUUGAAAUGGUGGAAAACACUCCUUACCGCCGGCUCAUUCGGCAGGGCCUCCCAUUAUAUAAACGCCACGCGGCCUCUCCCACCCACGCGCCAGCAAAAGGAGAGGAGCUAGAGGGAGACCGAAGGAAUACAGGGAGAGGAGAUGAGAGGAGACGGGAGGAGGAGGAGGAAGAGGAAGAAGAAGGGAGGGGGGAGGGAGGGGAAGGGAUUGAAGUUUCGGUGGUCAUUUUAUUUCAGGUAUUUUUUUAAAUGUCGUAGUUUAGUUAGCGUAGAUAGUGUAGUGGAUGGAUGUAGCAGUACAUAGAUCUAGUAGUUAGUUUAGUGGAUCUGAGACUUAGAAAAAUUUAGUAGAUUUUAGACAUAGGAAAAUGUAUGUUAGUCAGUAUAGUGGAUUUAGCUUAGGUAUUUAGUUCACAGUAAAUUUUAUUUGUUUAUUUAUGUACAUUAAAUUUAUAUGAAUAUUAUUUGCAUUGUUAGGGUCACAUGUUGUUUAGGUAUUGACAAUGUAGUUGUUAUAGGGAUAGUUGGAAUUAUAAGAUUUAGUGAGAACCUUUGUGCUUGUCGCGUAUAUUGUCCUGGGUAGAUGCCUAUGAUAAAUUUAGUUCGUAAGGUUGGUUUAGUCUUAAAUAGUAGUUAGUGUGGUUGAAAUGAAGGUGUCGUUCUAGUUAACUAAUUUAAGUUAUUGAUAGUAAUUUGGACUGCUCGUUUCGUGUAUUUUGGCAGGCAUGUCAGAUAGUUUAUAUUUCCAAGUAUUCUAUAGUCCGGGGGAGGUUAGAUAUGGUCCAGAAGGGGUAGAUUUGAGUGGAUUUCCGUAUUUCUGCAAGUACUUACCACGAGCAAGAGAGAGGACUUGGGGGGAAUAUGCAGGUGGCUUUGUAAGGAUUUCGGUGUUGAUAGAGAUCAAGUGGAUGUGUCUGUGAAGGUUAUAGUGAAGAGAUGGCCCGACCUAAACUUUUAGGAGUUGCUCUCGCUUGAAGGAACCCCAAGCUACCAGGCUUAUGUAAAGGGUUGCACGAGGUAAGGUUUACCAAUCAUAUAGUAUGUUCAACUGUUCACGAGGGCUGGGUGUAGCAGUCAGGUGGAAGAAGAAGUGGGAGGUGCUGAAGUUGAAGCGGAGGAAGAUGUGGAGAGUACUGAGGGGGCAAACGAAGAACUUGAUAAUAAUGGGGAAGAAGGGGGAGAUGCAGAGGAUGAUGAUGUAGCUCGUGAGCCAAACAGGAAGGCUGAUGAGGGGGAAGAAAUUACUUAGUUAGUUGAGCAGGUGGAGAGGGAAGGAGAGGAGGCCAAUGGUGUCAUGGAUGAUGACUCGUCCAAUGAGGAAGAUACUUACCAUGUCCCACAGAACUGGUCAAAUUAUGACCAUUCCGCCCUACAAGUCAAUGUAGGUAAAAAUGUCCCUUGGGAGUACAGGGAGAAUGAGGUAUGCGUGGGUGCUUAGUACCCAAGUGGGGAUGAAGUGAAGGUAGCUGGGAAGAGAUGAUCCACUUUAUCUUUGCAGCAUCAGUUUAGGGUGGAGAAGAGCAACCCAACAGUGUAUGAUGUCCGCUGUGUGAGAAAUGAUUGCCCGUUCAGGGUGCACGCAUACAAGGGAAAAUGGAAGGAUUACAAGGAGGUGACUAGAUUGGUUGAGCAUCAAUGCUUGCUAGCUAAACUGGAAGGAACACACUGCAACCUCACUGCUGAUUUUAUUGCUCAAUACAUGUAUCCUCAUAUAGUGCAAAAUCCUAGCUUCGAGCCCAAGUCCAUUGUUUGUGCCAUAGAGGAGAAGUUCAAGUACAAGAUUAGCUACAACAAAGCUUACCGAGCGAAGCAGAAGGCACUGGAGAUGAAGUGGGGUACGUUCGAAGCAUCUUAUGAUAACCUCUCUGUCCUGUUGCACACCAUAUACCAGAGCAACCCAGGAAGCUGCUACGAUGUGAAAACCUAUCCAUGUGCUUAGUUUCCAAGCAAACUGAUCAUGCAGCAGUCAUUCUUGGCGUUAGGUUCUUGCAUUGAGGCUUUCCAGUGAUGUCGACCAGUCAUUUGCAUUGAUGGCACAUUUCUUACUCAAAGGUAUAAAGGAACGAUAUUAACAGCUAUUGAGUCUGACGGCAACAAUCAGGUCUUACCGCUUGCGAUCGCAUUUGUGGAGAAGGAGUCUGGAGAUAGAUGGUAUUGGUUCCUGGAGAGGGUGAAGAACAAGAUUGUGAAGGAUGUGGAGGGGGUUUGUCUCAUUCAUGAUCAGCACAAAGGCAUUCUACAAGCAAUCAAAGACCUACAUAAUGGAAGUCAGGAGCAUUUCAGGGUGGCGAUAUGGCCGAUCUUGAAGAGUAGGUGGUGCAUGAGGCAUAUGGGUGCAAACUUUCAUAAGCAAUUCAAGAACAAGACACUUAUGACAUUGUUCAAGCGUCUAUGCAGCCAGAAUUAGGAGAGGAAAUUCAACCUCCUAUGGAAGAAACUUGACAACCUUACAAAGAAACAAUGCGAAGAACUAGCCAAGAGGCCGGGCAAUAGCGAGGCCGACCACCCUAUGUCUCUGGAGAACGUCAGGAUCGAUGCUCCUAGUGUUAGGUGAAGAUGGGGAAGAUCCAUCAAAAUCUUCUCACAGUGGAUUGAGCAUGAGCCGAAGGAAAAGUGGGCAUUACUCUUUGAUGAGGGAGGUGCUCGGUGGGGUAUAAUGACUACAAACCUAGCUGAGGUUUACAAUUGGGUACCGUGCGGUGUUCAGGGACUGACGCUUGUUGGUAUGGUGGAAUUCUUUUUGUACUGCACCAUGAAGUAUUUCAAGGAAAGGUAUCAAUUGGCUGAUAAUUCAAUGCACGACACUCACAAAAUAUAUGGGUACGAGAUGACAGAGUUCAUGGAGGAGGCGAUUAAGAAGGCUCAUUUGAAUCGUGUGAAUGAAGUGGGAGCCAUGGAACCCCAAUUCGAGGUUAGGGACAAAGCUCGAAUGGGCGGGAGGCGCGAGAAGCAUACACAGGAGUGCAUCAUCAGCAAUGAAGGGUGUGUUUGCUCUUGCCACAAGCCAAGGUUGCUGCAUAGGCCUUGCACCCAUGUCAUUGCUGCAUGCAUCGAGGUGUGGGGGACUUCAACCUCGUCAGUUCAUGCCACACUACUUCCUGAAGAAAACCAUAUGGCAUGCUUGGAGGAACGAGAUUUAUGGAUAUCGUUUACUAGGAGACUUCGUAAACAAUCCUGAUAAUGCCGCGCGCUACAUUCCUGACCCUGAUCCAGAAAUUUUCCAAGGGGUCGGGCGACGCAAGAACAGACGUAUCCGGAAUGACAUGGAUCAAUCUGAAGCUGGUCCUGAUGUUCACCUCUGCUCCAAGUGCCAUGGAGCCGGUCACACCUACAAGAACUGCCCUACGACGACAUAUGGAAGUGCGAGUACCCAAGCUGGUCAUCGUCUACAUGUAGCAACAAUGAUGGGCUUUUGUGAUUCAUGUGCUAUAUGUUUGUGAACUAGUUGUGUUUUAAGUUUGUGAAGUCAUUUCAAGUUGUGACUCAUGUGCUGUAUGUUUCUGAACUUGUUGUAUCUUUAGUUUGUCAAGUAGUUGUGAUACAUGUUUGUAUACUCGUAAUUCAGGCGAACUUCCGAAAUGUCAUGUAAUAUGUAACAUAAGUUGUAGUACUAUGACCAUGUAAAAUUUGCAUAUCUUGGAAUACUUCAUUUGCAGUUUGUUUUAUUUCUUUUACGUUUUCACGUCAUUAUUAUUUCAGGCACGUACUUAUUUGUUUUGUGUUGCAGGUAUGGCACAACAAGUUCCAGAGGGGUACUAGACCCCUGAGUUGCUCGACUCUACCUUGGACGGCCUUCAUAGGUCAUUCAUGUCAGCAGUUCGGGGUUCGAGGCUGGGCACAUUUCAAGCAUGUAACCCGCUUUCGACGAUGCUGAUCGACGCCAGUUGGAUUCUGAGGUACGUUGUACUGAGUUAAAUUUAUAUGGUAAGUUGUAACAUUACAUUGUUUGAACUAAUUAAUUUAUGCAUGGUACAGGUUACGCGCUGCGGGCCUUCUCCCUCUGGCCAGGUUGGUUGAGGGGGACAUGGUCGAUGCCACUGCGCGGCCUAGGGAGAAGUCUACAUGGUUCCACUUCGACAUGUCACUGCUAGUAGCUCUGUUGGACCGGUGGCGGCCAAAGACGCACAUGUCCCACCUCCCAUUGGGUGAGAUGGCCCCCACACUUGAGGACGUCUCGCUGCUACUUGGCCUUCCUUGUGCGGGGCGUGCCGUUGCCGCGAUGGACCACCCACAUACAGGACACCGUACCCGCCUACAUACGAUUUAUUGCCAUUUCCCCAUCGGUAUAAAGUUCCUGAUUUCACCAAGUUUUCAGGGCUGGAUGACACCUCAACCGUGGAACACGUGAACAGAUUCAUCAUCCAAUGCGGGGAAGCAGCGGCCCAGGAUGCUCUAUGGGUGCGUCUUUUCUCGUCAUCCCUGUUUGGGUCGGCCUUCCAGUGGUUCACCACCUUACCGCCCAACUCGAUAAUUACAUGGGCCGAUCUGGAAAGGCAAUUUCAUAAAUACUUCUACGCCGGGGUACAUGAGAUGAAGCUGUCCGAUUUGACCAGCCUUAGGCAGAGAAGCGACGAGCCGAUAUCCUCAUAUGUACAGAGGUUUAGGGAAAUCAGAAAUAAAUGCUACUCCCUGGCCCUGACUGAUGCACAGUUGGCCGAUAUAGCCUUCCAAGGUCUCCUACCUCACAUCAAGGAAAAAUACGCCUCACAGGAGUUUGAGAGCUUGAGCCAAAUCGUCCACCGAUUGUCCGGUCAAGAAGUACGUUCUUUCGAUCCACGGAGGAACUUCCAGAAGAAGGUGGCAUACUUAGAAGAGGUUGAAACCGAAGAAGACACUGAAAUCGGCCUUGCGGAAUGGAUUAAAGGGAAGAAGCCGAUAUCAUGUCCGUUCGGCAAGGAGCCGGAAACGUUCGGAUUUGACACAUCAAAGGUCGGUAAAAUCUUCGACCUCCUCCUCCAGGAAGGACAGAUCAAGCUCUCGCCGUACCAUACGAUUCCUUCUGCCAAACAGCUGAAGAAGAUGAAGUAUUGCAAGUGGCACAACGCUACCUCCCAUGACACGAAUGAAUGCAAAAUCUUCCGGCAGCAGAUACAGUCGGCCAUUGAGCAGGGCAGACUCAAAUUUGAAGUGCCAACAAAACCAGCCAAGCCGAUGAAGAUCGACCAGCACCCCUUCCCCACCAACAUGGUUGACACGGGAAAGAAUUCGCUCCAAACCAAGGUGCUGACAUCCGAAUCGGCUAAAAAGAGCGGCGCCGUAGACCCCAGAAUUCAAGCAGCACCUGAAGACGUCAAGGGAAAACGGCGGAUGGAGGACGAUGAUGACGGAUCGGGAGGACCACGCAUUACUUCCCAAUUCCUGCUCAACAAAUAUCAACGGCAACAUGAACGCUCAAGAUCCCAAGAAGAAGCAAUGCGGCGACAUGAAAAUCACUAGCGAUGCCCGUUCUUCAUCCACUGCUGGGAAAGCAACCUCAGGUUGCCUUCGGCCGAUAAUUGCCCGGAGUGCAACGGCCCGUAUCGUAACAAUCAGCCGUUCAGCAGACCUCGCUCCAGAGAUGGGAGACCAGAGCCGAUCAGCAGGAACUGGCGCGACCAAGACGACCGGCGCCCUCCAGUACGUGAUCGGCUGGGGGGCAGAAGUGACCGGUAUGACCGGUCGGAAGGCAAGCGUUAUGAUGGGCCGGGGGGCAGAUUUGAUCGACAUGACCGGCCAGAAAAUAGAGUCAGCGUCCACAGAUGACUUGAGGAGAUGGCUGAUGCUCGAGGGACAGACGAGAACCCUUUAGGACGCGAAUCAGAAUGGGAAUGCGCUAGGCCACGAACCAAACCGGUGAACCCCAGGUGGUGCCCCGAUGGAUUGACCAAGUCUCAAAAAUGAAGAAUCCAACGUCUCCGCCAGUGGGAACAGCAGGAAGAAGAGCAAUAGUACACGACAGACGAGAAGAAAGGCAGGUCUCAGGUAUGGCGCCCCAAAAGAAAUGACAGAAGAGGUGACGAAUCGGCAGGCGACGAAUCGGCAGCCGAGAUCGACAUGGUCUUCAUAUUGCCGAUGGAAUUCAUGACUCCUGCCGACCGACAGGACAUGUUGGCAAUGGAAGAGCAGAUGGCACAAUUGGCUUUGGAGCCAAUGACAGCCACAUUCGAGAAGCCUGAAGAAGACAAACGGCAACACCUAAAGCGUUGUUUCUUAAAGGGCAUGUCAACGGCCGACCCAUCACCAGAUUACUGGUAGACGGAGGGGCUGCAGUCAACAUCAUGCCGUACUCCAUGUUCCGGAGGCUAGGGAAGAGCGAUGAUGACCUGACCAAGAUAGACAUGAUGCUCAAGGACUUCGAGGGCAACGUAUCCCCCGCUCACGGCGCUCUCUGUGUCGACCUCACCAUCGACAGUAAGACCCUUCCUACUACUUUCUUUAUUAUUAAUGGCAAGGGGUCCUACAACAUGCUACACGGCCGAGACUAGAUACAUGCAAAUUGCUGUAUCCCAUCUACAAUGCAUCAAUGCCUCGUACAGUGGGUCGGCGACAAUAUCGAGGUGGUCACCGCCGAUUCCGCAUACAGCAUCGCGGCAGCCGACACGCAGCAGUGGAGCUGCGAAACCAUCAAGUGCAUAUCCGGGAGAGUAUGGGAUACUGACUUCUUGAAGGUGUCCGAUUUUGGCCUACAGCCGAUCUGAGCAGUCGGCUCCGAGGACUCAGAUUAAAUGGAUCAGUUCGCCCGAGAAGAUGGGAAGCUGGGACACGGGUUCACGUCGGCCGAUUCAUUAGAAAUGAUAGACUUAGGUGAUGGCACCAUACCAAGGCCGACAUAUAUUAGUGCAAAUUUAGAUCUGAAUACAAAUGUAAACUGACAAGUUUGUUAAGAGAAUUUAAGGAUUGCUUUGCUUGGGAAUAUCAUGAGAUGCCCGGAUUAGACUGAUCUAUCGUUGAACAUCGGUUACCCAUAAAGCUAGGGUAUCGGCCGUAUCAACAGCCUGCACGGCGGUGCAAUCCUAAAAUCCUACCGGACAUAAAGGCCAAAAUAACGCGGCUAAUCGAAGCAAAAUUUAUUCGGCAAUGCCGUUAUGCCGAAUGGAUCUCCAACAUUGUACCAGUAUACAAGAAGAACGGAAAGUUACGCGUAUGCGUCGAUUUCAGGAACCUCAAUCAGGCCACACCAAUGGACGGAUACCCCAUGCCGACGGCCGAUGUGCUGAUAGAUGCCACCGUAGGACACAAGGUUAUUAGUUUCAUGGAUGGAAACGCUGGGUACAAUCAGAUACUUAUGGCCGAAGAAGACAUACCCAAAACGGCCUUCAGAUGCCUAGGUCACCUUGGUUUAUUCGAGUGGGUGGUAGUGACUUUCGGCUUGAAACAUGCUGGCGCUACGUAUCAGAGAGCCAUGAACUACAUCUUUCACAAACUUAUCGGCGUACUAGUAGAAAUCUACAUCGAUGACGUCGUAGUCAAGUCAAAAGGACACCAGGAGCAUCUAGCCAAUUUACGACAAGUGUUGGAAUGCACUAAGAAACAUGGGCUGAAGAUGAACCCGAAUAAGUGUGCCUUCGGCGUAUCAGCCGGACAGUUCUUAGGAUUCAUGGUGCACGAGCGGGGAAUAGAGAUCAAUCAGAAGACCAUAGCGGCCAUCAACAAAGUCAUUGCCCUGCAGAAUAAAACUGAGCUGCAAUCUUUAAUCGACAAGGUGAAUUUCAUCAGAAGAUUCAUAUCUAACCUGUCUGGGCGAAUCCAAGCCUUCACACCAUUAUUAAAGUUGAAGCCCGACCAGGAGUUCAUAUGGGGAGAAGAGCAAUGCAAGGCAUUGGAAGAUAUCAAGCAGUACUUGGUCUCACCACCGGUAUUGGUUCCUCCUCAAACUGGUAAGCCGUUUAAACUAUAUUUAUCAGCCGAUGAACGAGCUAUUGGGUCGGCUCUGGUCCAGGAGUUCGAAGGAAAGGAACGGGUAAUUUAUUAUGUCAGUAGAAGACUUCUGGACGCCAAAACAAGGUAUCCUCCAAUGGAGCGGUUGUGCCUAUGCCUUUACUUCUCAUGUACAAAACUCAUGCACUAUUUGCUAUCGGCGGAAUGUGUGGUCGUAUGCAAGGACGACGUGGUAAAAUACAUGCUAUCACUGCCGAUUUUGAAAGGACGAAUCGGUAAAUGGAUCUUGGCUUUGUCAGAGUUUGACCUUCGAUAUGAAUCGGCAAAGGCCGUUAAGGGUCAGGUCAUGGCCGAUUUCGUUACCCAACACUACGGACCAGAGACUACCUUCUUGGAACCGGUACCUUGGACCUUAUACUUUGAUGGAUCGUCAUAUGGGGUCGGGUCAGGAAUUGGCAUCGUCCUCAAGGGGGCAAGCAAUGAUUUUUCUCUGCCAAUAGAAGCAUCCGCCACCAACAAUCAAGCAGAAUACCGAGCUGUACUGAAGGGAUUACAAUUGCUAAGAGGAGUCAAGGCCGAUUCUGUCGAAGUUUUUGGAGAUUCCAUGCUUAUCGUAGAUCAAUUAACAGGGAAGUCCGAAUGCAAGGACUAUGUGUUGAGGAUUUAUUACGAAGAUUGCCUGCAGCUUCUGAAAGAAUUCAAAUCGGCAGUUAUUGAGCACAUCCCAAGGAAUCACAACGAGGAUGCCAACAAGCUCGGCCAACACACAUCUGGGUAUCGGCUGAUUCAAGGCGCCUUGGCUCUAGAGCUCGCGGCAAUGACUGGCGAAAGGAGAUUGCCGAUUACCUGAAAGAUCCGUCUAGGAAAGUGGAUCGGCGGGUACGGUUUCAUGCUACCAAAUACGUGUUAUUGGAAGACGACUUGUUCUACCGAACAAUUGAUGGCGUCCUACUCAAAUGUCUGGGAACGGAGGAGGCUAAGACUCUGAUGGGAGAAAUCCAUGAAGGAGUGUGUGGAGCCCACCAGUCGGCACAUAAGAUCAAAUGGAUGGUGAGGAAUAAUGGGUAUUACUGGCCGACGAUCCUCGAAGAUUGUUUCAAAUAUUAUAAAGGAUGCCAGGAUUGUCAGAAAUUCGGGAAUGUCCAACGUGCGCCCGCAUCGGCCAUGAAUCCCAUUAUCAAACCAUGGCCGUUCAGAGGUUGGGGAACAUACCUCAUCGGCCAAAUUUAUCCUCCGUCAAGCAAAGGGCACAAGUUCAUUCUGGUGGCCACUGAUUAUUUCACCAAAUGGGUGGAGGCAAUUCCGUUAAGGGCCGUAACAUCGGCUGCUAUGGUUGACUUCGUAAGAGACCAUAUCGUCUACCGUUUCGGCAUCCCCUAGACUAUCACAACCGAUCAAGGGACGAUGUUUACAUCGGGAGAAUUUGAGGAGUUCACGGCCGAUAUGGGAAUCAAAUUGUUAAACUCCUCUCCGUAUUAUGCCCAAGCUAAUGGCCAGGCCGAAUCCUCCAACAAGGGGAUAAUUAAGUUAAUCAAGAGGAAGAUAGAGGAGCAGCCGAAAAAAUGGCAUCUAUGUCUAACUGAAGCUCUAUGGGCAUACAUGAUGGCUUGCCACGGGGCCACCAAGAUGUCCCCUUAUCAGUUGGUGUACGGUCACGAGGCAGUACUACCAUGGGAGUUGAGGGCAGGGUCGAGACGCACUUCGCUCCAGGACCAGUUGGCGGCCGACGACUACUCCUCACUCAUGAAAAGGGAACUUGAUGACUUGGCUGGCCAACGAUUGAGAGCUCCGAUAAGCAUCGAAGAAAACAAGAAGAAAGUGGCCAGGUGGUAUGAUAAGAAGGUCAAAGUCAAGCAAUUCUCUCCGGGGGACCUGGUAUGGAAGUUAGUGUUGCCGAUUGGGUCGAAAGAUCCUAAAUUCGGUAAGUGGUCCCCUACGUGGGAAGGGCCGUAUAAAAUCGGCAGAUGUGCUCCAGGAAACGCUUAUAUUCUGAAAACAAUCAAAGGAGAAGAGUUUACUAGGGCUCUGAACAGAAGAUACUUGAAAAGGUACUACCCUAGUAUAUGGGUCGGAUCAUAGGUAUCAACCACGAUAAACAACACAUAGCCGAUGCAAAAGGAAUCGUCUAGAGAAAAAAAAAUGUAAUCGUCCAAAUUAGCCGAUAUAUUUUAUUCGGUACGGACGGUGGGUUACAUGGCCGACACGGUACGAGUCGCCCUUAGAACAAAAAAUAAUUAACCACGCUUUUUCUUAAGCUCUCUCUCAGUCCGACCUAGUUCUAUCAGAAGACGGAUAUACUCUUCUUCUAUCUCUUUCAUCGAAGCCUCCGCUUCGACUUGACGGGGGAGAGGGUGACUCCGGUCCACGGCCGGGCGUGAUGUUCCUGCCGCUGCAUCUUCAAGGACGAUUUGAUGAGGAAGCGAAUGACUUCUGUCGGCUUGAGGUCGCCGGUGGUCAUUGCUGUCCAGAAAGUCCCAGAUCCGUCGGAUGUCGGCAGGGACGUGCUCUUGGAGUUCAUCGUGAUGAGCCCUGAUUAAGUCCUGAUCUUCUUGUGACAGCAGUUCGUCAAAAUGCAUGAGUCCGAUGGCUCGUUCGAGUUUAGGGCUAAGGCGCCGCGGCUGCGGAAAACAAAAACAUAUGUACAGUCGUCGAAAAGGUGAUUCCCUUCAGAGGAGUUAAACUAAGAAAGAGGAUGAAAGCAAAUCUUUUACCUGAUUAACAGAGGAAGAGGUAGAGGAUGAAGAAGACAUGACUGAAAGGUGCACCGAAGAAAACAGGUUGGGGAAGAUGAAGCCGAGCUAGAUAGGUACUCUCGGAACGGUUACCUAGGCCGGUGUUUAUAAGAAAGGAAGGCGUGAAUGUUUAGUAAGACGCGUCCCAUCGGAAAUGAAAAAGGUAAUAAAUAAGGGGGCGCCACAAAGGAUGGUCAAAGGGGUCAUUAAAUGUUCGUACAAACACUGCCAGUACUUUUACAGGUCACCUAGAAGGGCAUCGAUAGCUGCGAUCGCUCGGCGCCGAAUCUGAUCGGCAGAGUCCAAGACCCGUUGGUCAUCUUCUGCCAAUCCGGGGACUUCUGGCAUAUGGCGGUGGAGUUUGAGGGCUUCGUGGGCCAGGUGCUGUCUCUCCCGUUUCAGAUCGGCGACGACAGAAGGGAGUUCCUGAAGCCUCUUCUCUUCGGCGUCUAUUGCUUUGGUCACCUGCUCCAUCUCCUUGGCAAGCUCUGCCCUUCGGUGUUUGAGGCGAUCUAUUGUGCCGACGAUCCCCGGGCGAGAAUCUUCCAGAAAGUGAAUCCGUUGAUGCACCUCUUGAGCUCGACGCUUGUACAUGUCUUCUUCCUCACGAGUCCUGGUCAACUUGGCGUGGUCGGCCAUAUGGUGCAGGGCCCUAAAGACCGGAAUCCUCAUUGACUCGAUAUAUGCGGCCGGCGCCAAGGCCUCUUCCGCUUCUUCUGGUACUCGUCCGCUGACGUCACCAAAAAGUUGCCGAAUCGGCGAGGCGUCUUCUACCAAUCGGCUGAUGUCCUCUUGAAGAAGGGAUCGGAUGCUUGCGAGUUUGGCGCGGACGUCAUCAGGGACGGAGCUCAAAGUAACCUGGCGAGAGGCGACUUCCUCAUCAUUAGAGAGCGCAACCGCAAAUGAGAAAAGGCUGUUGUUGGGGGUGUCCUGUUCCUGUAAAAUAGUAAGUCAAGAAGAAGAACAAGUCAGCCGAUGAUGAUAGCAAAUCGGCCGAGUAAGGGGGAAAAGUCUCUUACCUCCUUAAAACGAAUUUCUUCAAGCUGCGUUCGGGAGGUUGUUAUCCUCGAUUCAGGGGCUAGUUCCAUUGGUUCGUCAUGAGUAGAAGACUCCACCAUGAUUGGUGCUUUGCUCGGGCCAGCUUCCUGAAAGAUGACCAUUGGUUGGCUAGAUGGGGCGCUAGGCGUACCGGUGAUCUGUGUCAAAAGAUUGAAAUAAGAAUAUUAUCCAAAUACUAGGAAAAUCGGUUGAAGGGUAGUAUACCUCAGCAGAUGGAAGUGUGGGCGUGAUGAUGACCGAUUGGGUUGCUGCCGAUUGUUGUGAGUCCACAGAAGUGAUUUGUGCAGUCUAAAAUAAGAUGAGUCAGUAUGAGGAUGGCAAUCGGCAGGAUGAGACAACAAGUUUACCUGCAUAGCCUCCACCAGUAAUGAUGCAGCGGCCGCCCCAGCUUGCGUGAUGACUUGAGUAUCCACUUCUCCAGCAGUUGGAAGGGGCAAUGCGGCCAAAGUUUCUGCUGAUGUGAUCAUAGGAAGGUCGGCCGAUUCUAUACGAGUUCGUACUCGGUGACUGGUCUUCUUGGUAACCUUCUUCCGCGCCUGCUUCGAUCGGCCGGCAAUCACAUCCACGGAAGGGGCAUCAUAGCCAAUAAGGGGGAAGAUGGUGUAUGGGUGAUGAUCCUCUGUCGGCCGGCCACUCUGACUGUGUGUUGGGGGAACGCGUUUUUCAGACUGAAGUAACAGCAAGAUGUUAGUGUACAUAUUUAACCGCAUUAAUAAAGGAAUGAAGAUCGGCUAGGGGAAAAAUACCUCGGUGUUCGGAUCGAUGUUGGCUGGAUCCAAGAGAUUGCAGUAUGUCGAUGCGGAGGCGCAGAACAGGUACUGUUUCCAUUCAGCCCACCAUAGCUUGAAUUGUUGGACAGCAAAGGGGGCUA